GACGAACGCUGGCGGCGUGCCUAAUACAUGCAAGUAGAACGCUGAAGAGAGGAGCUUGCUCUUCUUGGAUGAGUUGCGAACGGGUGAGUAACGCGUAGGUAACCUGCCUGGUAGCGGGGGAUAACUAUUGGAAACGAUAGCUAAUACCGCAUAAAAUGGAUUAUCGCAUGAUAAUCCAUUGAAAGGUGCAAAUGCAUCACUACCAGAUGGACCUGCGUUGUAUUAGCUAGUUGGUGGGGUAACGGCUCACCAAGGCGACGAUACAUAGCCGACCUGAGAGGGUGAUCGGCCACACUGGGACUGAGACACGGCCCAGACUCCUACGGGAGGCAGCAGUAGGGAAUCUUCGGCAAUGGACGGAAGUCUGACCGAGCAACGCCGCGUGAGUGAAGAAGGUUUUCGGAUCGUAAAGCUCUGUUGUAAGAGAAGAACGAGUGCGAGAGUGGAAAGUUCACACUGUGACGGUAUCUUACCAGAAAGGGACGGCUAACUACGUG
rnacentral:rRNA from 1 species